UACAGAGGUGGCAAGCGUUGUUCGGAAUUACUGGGCGUAAGGGCGCGUAGGCGGCCUACUAAGUCAGACGUGAAAUCCCUCAGCCUUAACUGGGGAACUGCGUCUGAGACUGGUCAGCUUGAGUGCAGGAGAGGAACGCGGAAUUCCCAGGUGUAGCGGUGAAAUGCGCAGAUAUCAGGAGGAACACCGGUGGCGAAGGCGGGUCUCUGGGCCGAUACUGACGCUGAGGAGCGAAAGCGUGGGGAGCGAACAGG
rnacentral:rRNA from 1 species